rnacentral:pre_miRNA from 1 species
UGUUAAAUUUUUUUAUCAAGUUCUACUAUUAAAAACUAGUAUGACUAAUAGAAUAACCAGAUCGUUACAUGUGGCAUACCACGUGUACAUCAUUUUAAUGUACAAGGACCAGCUUUUAACAAUAGAAAUGGAUGAAAUCUUUAACA